rnacentral:rRNA from 1 species
UACAGAGGAGCCAAGCGUUGUCCGGAUUGACUGGGCGUAAAGCGCACGCAGGCGGUUGCGCGCGUGGGGUGUGAAUACUGGCCGCUUAACGGCCAGGCGCCAUCCCAUACGGCGCGACUGGAGUGAUGCAGAGGUCGAUGGAAUUGCCGGUGUAGUGGUGAAAUGCGUAGAGAUCGGCAGGAACACCCAGGGGGAAACCAGUCGACUGGGCAUCUACUGACGCUGAGGUGCGAGAGCGUGGGGAGCGAACAGG